CCCUCGCCCUCCCCAGACCAAGGACUGGUGGACGUACGAGUUCUGCUACGGGAGGCACAUCCAGCAGUACCACCUGGAAGAGUCCGAGAUCAAGGGUGACGUCCUUGUCCUGGGCUAUUACCAGUCCGCCUUUGACUGGGAUGAUGAGACAGCCAAGGCCUCCAAGCAGCACCAGCUGAGGCGCUACCACAGCCAGAGCUACGUGAACGGCUCCCGCUGCGACCUGACCGGGCGCGCCCGCGAGGCCGAGGU